ACAGAUGAAGGUGAUUAUCGUAUUAAACUACGUAAUCUGACCAAUUUUCUCAAUGAAGGGGAUAAAGUCAAAGUCACUCUGCGGUUUCGCGGGCGUGAAAUGGCGCAUCAAGAAUUUGGUAUUCGGCUACUUGAACGAGUAAGAGAUGAUCUUGAGAUGCAUGCUGUUGUUGAGCAGUUUCCAAAAAUGGAAGGCCGCCAAAUGGUUAUGGUGUUAUCUCCAAAGAAAAAAGAUACCAAAGCCGGCAAGGAAAAACAGGCCGCGGAUAAUCCAACUACAACACCGUAGCUUAUUUUCGUAAGCGUUAUAAAGUACAUCGCAGAGGAAUUUUACAAGUGA
rnacentral:misc_RNA from 1 species